GUGCACUCGGGCGGGGUAGGGGGCAAAUAAGACAAAACAAAACUCUUUUAAAUUUAAAUACGAUAUAGGCAAUACGAACUGAGAAAGACAAUUCAAAGGACAGGAUGGUUUAAAAAAUUUCAUUGUAAUUUUGUUUAUUUCAAAAGUUAUUUAAAAUGACCAGUUAGAGUUAUUUCAUCUUCACCCCUCCCCUCUAAGUACAGUUCACGUGGUGACCUGAACAAGAUGGCAAAAGAGGAUGGUGAAAUUGAUGUUCUUUGCGUUUUUCCUUGCGAACCAAAAGAUUAUAACUCCGGGCGAUGUAGGGUGGACAGAAACACUUUUAUCAGGCUCGGGUUUUCUAUCGGAGCUCCAGUAAAGGUUAAUACAGGCUCAUAUUUUUUGUUUUGCAAUGUAUGGCCGAUGGACUGUGAACCACAAUUUCCUACAAUCCAAGUUGAUCGUCUUGUAUCACAGCGAAUAGAAGAAAAUACAGAAAGCACAGAGCAGGGUGUGAUAAGCGCUUGUCAGGAUAUAGAUGUCAUUAGUCCUAACGAAGCUCUUUCAGUGUCUGUCUCACUAAGGCUGACAAAUGAUGCCGAGGUAUCAGGCGGUCAUCUACCCAAAGAGUUUUUAAAAGCCAAGAGAACUCGAAAAGUGAGCCUCCUUUUACAAGGAUUAACAGUAUCAAAGGGCUGCCAUAUUAGAAUUAAACAACCGAGAAAUUCCACUUAUGACCGUUAUAAAUACAUCUCAGGUAUCGUCAUUGAAGAUGUGACAAGUGUAAUUGACAACAAUGCUUAUGUUGUUAUUACAGAGAAAACUAAUAUUAAUAUUGAGUCUGUGAAAGUUGGCAGUUCUGUGGACAGUGGUAAUAUUAUACUUUCUGGGCUUGACGACUCAAUUAAAAUGCUAAAAGAGCUGGUGCAGUUUCCAUUGUACUACCCAGAAUCCUUCUCACACCUGGGAAUUAAUGGCCCAAAGGGUAUUCUUCUAGUGGGAGCCCCUGGGGUUGGCAAGACGCUCCUGGUCCAUAAAGCCACAGUGGAUUGUGGCAUUAAACUUGUGUCCACGAAUGGAACAGAUGUAUUUGGCCCUCAUGCUGGGGAGAGUGAGGAAAAUUUGAGGAGAGUAUUCAAUAAAGCAAGAUAUGCGUCCAGGUUUGGGCCUUGUGUCUUAUUCAUUGAUGAGUUGGAUGCCUUGUGUCCCAAACGAGGAUCCAGUGGUAACGAAGAGGAGAACCGAAUAGUUGCACAGCUUCUCACCCUGAUGGAUGGUCUUGAGAGCAGGGGCGGAGUCAUAGUCAUUGGUGCUACAAAUAGACCCAACGCACUUGAUCCUGCGCUUAGGAGACCUGGAAGAUUCGACAGAGAGGUAGUUAUUGGUGUCCCUUCUGCAGGCCAGAGGCUUGAUAUCCUGCGUGCUCAUUGUAAGCCCAUCAAUCUCUCAGUUGAUGUCGACCUGACACACCUCGCUGAGAUCACUGUUGGAUAUGUUGGGGCUGAUUUGGCCUCACUCUGCCAACAGGCAGCAUUUGCUGCCCUUAAGCGGAGCCUUGCGAAAAACAAGUCUGAUAACAAAGGUAAAAGUUUGCACACCGUGAAGAUGAGUGACUUCCAGCUUGCAAUGUGCCACACUGUGCCCUCCACCCACAAGGGCAUGGAGGGAGUGGUGAGGCUACAGCCCACUCGUUGGGACGAUGUAGGGGGACUAGAGGGUGUCAAACAGGCUCUUCGCCAGGCAAUAGAGUGGCCAUUAUUACACCCAGAAGCCUUUGCAAGAAUGGGUUUGCGUCGUCCCAGGGGGGUGCUGCUCUAUGGCCCCCCUGGUUGCUGCAAGACAACCCUCGUUCGUGCCGCAGCCUCCUCGACCCACUGCACAUUCAUGUCGCUGAGCUGUGCGCAGCUUUUUAGUUCUUAUGUUGGAGAUGCAGAAAGAACUUUGCGCGAGUUGUUUUUGAAAGCUCGUGCUACAGCUCCCGCUAUUCUCUUUUUGGAUGAAUUAGACUCUCUUGCCGGAAAGCGUGGUAGCAACCUCGGCAUGGAGACGAGGCUACUGGCAACGCUUUUGAACGAGAUGGAUGGCGUGGGCGUGUCUGCAAACAUUUACGGCAAAGAAUGCAAUGAAAGAGAGAUGCCGCAAAAAUACAAGGAAGAUAGGGGAAGCAAAGGCAAUAUUGGCGGAGAAUCACUUACAAACAGCUGUGAGAGAAGUGCGAAUGUUGCUGGGAUUGACAACAUUGAAAUUUCUUUAGAACUAAAUAAAAAAUUAGAUGAGGGGAAUUCGGAUCAUAACAUUAGAGAAACGAGGACAAAUGAUUUAUCUCGCCUCUUUUCGCAAGACGUGAAAGACCUUAUUUUGGUUGCCGCAACUAAUCGGCCAGAGGCCAUAGACGGGGCCUUAUUACGACCGGGCCGAAUUGACUGCAUGAUUUAUGUCCCUCCUCCCGACAUGCAAGCGAGACUAGAAAUACUGAGGGUUCACACUCGCUUCAGUCCACUCGCGCCCGAUGUAGAUCUAAGCGUGAUCGCGGAGGGGACUGAAUUGUACUCCGGUGCUGAUUUAGAGAAUCUUUGUCGAGAGGCGGCGUUGUUUGCUUUGGAACAUAAGGGAAUGGACACUUGCAGUAUCGACAACAAGCAUUUUAUGAAAGCACUUGCAAACCUCAAACCCUCCCUCACGACAGAGCAGCUAAAAUACUACGAGAACAAACAGUGGAGAUAAAAAAAACUUCGCACAUCUCAUCCCUAAGGAGUGUUACAAAACAACACAUUUCCUUUACAUCAAGAAGUGUUACAAAACGUUCUUUUUUACCUUAAAGGAGUAUAAGAGACAAGAAUUACUAAUUUCCUUCGUUAGAUUAUACACCUAUUUCAAAAAACGUUGUCAUUGCAAACGGCAAAUAGCGAUUGUCGAAUGGCAGUUAUAGGACCGAAAGAAUCCAUGGAUCCCCAAAUAUUUGUUCCAAAUUCAGAAAAAUAUAAAUAAUACAUUCGACUGUCCAUUUCAUGUAAUUAAUAUAUCGUUCUGACAUCGCUUGAGUUUAUUUAUCACCUUUAUUUUUACAAAUAAUUACUACCCAUAAACAACUUUCGGUCGUAGAACUGCCAUUUGGCAAUUGCCAUUCGCCGUUCGCACUUACAACCUUUAUUGAAAUAGGUGUAUACUGAUCUAGACGGACGAGUCAUCGGCCUCGUAAGAUCCGCGACCAUUAGACAGCCGGCUUUGGGAAAAGGUAUUGGCGUCAUCAUCCGAGAUAUUUCGAUCGUCGUAAGCAGGAUUUUGGACGCCCGAGAGGAACGUGGUCAGUGGCUGAGCCCGUUGGUGAAAGAGGGAAUUAGCAGGAUUGUGUUGCCAUGUGGAAAAUUUCAGAAGAAGACCGACGAAGACCACCCCGAGAGGAAUCAAAACCACGUAGUACCUGGAACAGAGCGACGCAGACGUUAACAAAACACAGCGAAGAAUAUGCGUAUAGAUUGGCUAACACGACAAUGGAUCGUCAUCGCCCAAAUUAAAGUCAUAAGAAAUGGGCAUUUUCAUAGAAAUCAUCGGUCCUACAGCACACAAGACACAUCUGAUCCUGACCUUGGCAUUCGCAUUGGUCCAGGAAAUACCUGGCACAUACUGGGCCCACGCACGCUCCGUCCAGGCACGUGUUACCAUCGUCGCCGCACGUCGUGUUCCUGGGUUUCGGUAUCGGCUCUGGGCACACUGCUGUGGUGCCACUGAUGACAGUCAAGGAAAAGAAUGCUGAUAAUAAACUGGCAAUGAAAGCUGGACUGGAACUGGUGUUGUUUCGAAUUUGGACUCAAUUUUAUGUAAAAACGUAGAUUGGGGCAGACGGUUAUGUUAAAACAUUUUAAAAACACUUUUUAGAACCGGUCUAGUGGAGAGGUCGUGUUAGCAAUUUUAUUUAAAGCUUGCUAAUUUUUUUUGAUAAUAGCGAAUUGAGUUCCUAUUGUAAAAAAGUAGCUUGGAGUGGCAAAUGGACGCAAGCCCCAGCCCUUGGAUCUCUCUGCACGAGGUGGUGAGGAGGCCACGCCUUAUUGUGCAUAAGGAUAUUUGCAAAAUGACGCAUAGCUACAUUCAGUCUCUUUCCGACAGGUUUUGUGCGCUGAAAGCGUGCAGUUGGAUUCACAGCAAAGUCCCUUCUGCGGACUGCAAGGGAAGAAAGGAUAAAUAUCAUCAGUCAAACUGUAGGACUGCACAAUUAAUCAUACUGUAGUUUUAUUAUUUGAACUUUGUUAACAUAGAUAUGGUUGGUAUUUGUAUAACUGUUUACUUCACUAGGAAAUGUUUUUUUAACUAAUCUAAAUUACACACUUAUCUCAUGAAUGAUCGAAUGAAAUUCACUCAAAUCAGCCAU